UGGGGAAUAUUGCACAAUGGGCGCAAGCCUGAUGCAGCCAUGCCGCGUGUAUGAAGAAGGCCUUCGGGUUGUAAAGUACUUUCAGUCGGGAGGAAGGUGGUAAGGUUAAUAACCUUGGCAAUUGACGUUACCGACAGAAGAAGCACCGGCUAACUCCGUGCCAGCAGCCGCGGUAAUACGGAGGGUGCAAGCGUUAAUCGGAAUUACUGGGCGUAAAGCGCACGCAGGCGGUUGAUUGAGUCAGAUGUGAAAUCCCCGGGCUUAACCCGGGAAUUGCAUCUGAUACUGGUCAGCUAGAGUCUUGUAGAGGGGGGUAGAAUUCCAUGUGUAGCGGUGAAGUGCGUAGAGAUGUGGAGGAAUACCGGUGGCGAAGGCGGCCCCCUGGACGAAGACUGACGCUCAGGUGCGAAAGCGUGGGGAGCAAACAGG
rnacentral:rRNA from 1 species